rnacentral:rRNA from 1 species
UGAGCUAAACGCGCAUAUGGUGUAUUCGCGUGCGUCGCAUAGCACGUAUUAAAUGCGCGUUUAGGGGUGAUAGGCUUUUCAAACGUUCGUAUAACUUGUUUCAUAUGAAAAGUAUUUAGUACCUAAACAAAUUUGAAAAGUUAAGCUUUUAAAUUAUUAUUAAAGAUAUUAUUCCCUUGUAGUGUAGUUUAAUAGCUAUCUACAUAGUAACUUAACAUUAAGUAUGUUAGUUUAUAUAUUAUAGUAUGACUUUAACAAUUUUGUUAAUAAAUUGAAAAUGUUAGUAUUAGUAAUAUUAGUAUGUGUGCUAAAGGAACUCGGCAAAAAACCGCUCAACUGUUUAUCAAAAACAUAGCUAUAUGAAUUAGUAUAUAGUUGUUUCUGCUCAAUGACUUAAAUAGCCGCAGUACUCUGACUGUGCAAAGGUAGCAUAAUCAGUUGGCUUUUAAUUAAAGUCUGGUAUGAACGAAAAUAUGGGUAGUAACUGUCUUAGCACAUUUCUUUGAACUUGUUAAACAAGUGCAAAUGCUUGUAAUUAAACAAUAGACGAGAAGACCCUAGAAACUUGGACAUAUUUUUGUUGGGGCGACAGAAUUACAUUUAACUAAUCUUCUAAUACACGACGCGAUGCUGAAAGAAUAAGUUACUCUAGGGAUAACAGCAUAAUUUCAUUAGUUUGUGACCUCGAUGUUGGACUAGGUACUAUACCCUUAAGGCAAGGAUAUAUUGUGCUCUGUUCGAGCAAAAUUACCUACAUGAUCUGAGUUCAGACCGG